GCACAAGCGGUGGAUGAUGUGGUUAAUUCGAUGCAACGCGAAAACCUUACCCACCUUUGACAUGUACGGAAGCCUUUAGAGAUAGAGGCGUGCUCGAAAGAGAGCCGUAACACAGGUGCUGCAUGGCUGUCGUCAGCUCGUGUCGUGAGAUGUUGGGUUAAGUCCCGCAACGAGCGCAACCCUUGUCAUUAGUUGCUACAUUCAGUUGGGCACUCUAAUGAGACUGCCGGUGACAAGCCGGAGGAAGGUGGGGAUGACGUCAAGUCCUCAUGGCCCUUAUAGGUGGGGCUACACACGUCAUACAAUGGCUGGUACAAAGGGUUGCCAACCCGCGAGGGGGAGCUAAUCCCAUAAAGCCAGUCGUAGUCCGGAUCGUAGUCUGCAACUCGACUACGUGAAGUCGGAAUCGCUAGUAAUCGUGGAUCAGAAUGUCACGGUGAAUACGUUCCCGGGUCUU
rnacentral:rRNA from 1 species